UUGCACUACAUUUUUAUUUUGUAAAAACAAUUUGUUAAUCUCAUGAUAUAUGUUGGCACAUUUCUUUGGCUUCGCUAUACCAAGUAAUUAAUAUACAUAUGACUUGCACAGCAGCCAACAUUAAAUCAAACAUUUUGCUGUGAUAUUACGAUGGGGUUUUUUUGUUUGUUUGUUUUUAAUUUCAACAACCAAAACACCAAAUAGGUUAUUAAUAGUUUUCAUUUUACUUAAACAUAUCUGAAAUCAGCUUUUUAUUUAUUUAUUUUUUGACGUGAUCAUUUUACGCACCAAGUUCCUGUUCGGUGGCCAUCUUGGAUUUAAGCUUUGCACUGACUUUAGCUUUUAGAACUUUAAAAAAACUAGACUUAUCACCAAAGUAUUAACUUUUCAUUGGGGAAGAUGUAUUCUACGCUAGACUGUGAUCUUUAAAUUGAAAGAUAUUUACGCCAGAGCCUAACCCUAAAAACACAUCUGUCGCUCUGCCAAAAGACUGCCGGGAGGGCGUUGCACCGAGACACUGCAAAAAAAAAAGUUGCAUCGGCGUCAUUUUUAAAUGCAUGGUAUUUGCUUUUAAUAUACAGAAACAUAACGUAUUAGUGCACAUUUUAAAAGGGUAUUUGUAUGUUUCAAAAUUAUAAUUCUACCCAUUUAGUAUUUCUUUCGCGACAAAAAGACAAGUUUACACAAUAAUUUGUAAAGAAUGUUAUUGUACAAAACUGGAUUAAUGCAUUUGUAACUGAAAAAGCACUUGCUUUCUAUAUUACAAAUCCAUGUAUUUAGACGGUCUAGCAUACUUGCAGACUCGGAUCCACCACGACUUGUGUCGGUGCUACUAGCCCUGUGUCUGCACGAUUCUGAGCUGCCCUGUAACGUUUGACCCGUCAUACCAUCUGUCGCUGCUGCCACGCAUCGGCUUGCAAGUGGAAACGUGCCUUUUAACUGAAUCCUGCGUUAUUCUUCGUGGAGUUUCUACAUACACCAGUGAUCUUUUAUAUAUGUGCAUAUCGCGCUUUUCUAAUAUCGGGACUGGUUACGAUGUGCUAGUUAUUUAUUAUCAGGCGCCCUUAGCCACGGCCACUUGCAAUUUACAAAGUAUUGCAUUAUAAAAUAUCACAUUUAAAAGUUAUAUUAUAAAAUAUCAAACUAUACUAUAUAAUCACAGAUAAGCGCAGUUGCAAAAAUACGGUUCAAGUAAGAGCAACAUAAAUACAGUACACUGUUAUAAACUGCAACAGUUAUCGUUCUGUCUCGUUAAUAUUUAUGGCAAAUGUAUAGGUCUGAUGCAUGGCCACAUUUGCUAAUGACACGACACAUUUCACAAACGAAUUCUGCUUCCCUUAUCCCUGUUCAGCGCCUUCUAACACUCGCAGCACUGGCUGGCAUUGCCUCGGGGGAGGAACCUGACUGGACGCGUGUAAAAACUGAAGAGCGCCACUUCAGGACCACCCAGAUAUCUUUCGGUACCACAGCUGAUACUGUAGUAGUUCAAGGAGGCGUGUCUUCUGGACACAUUGCUCAACCAUUGGAGUUCGGUUUUGUUUUCGAAAUACCUGCCCAAAAUAUUUACUUUUUGUAUACAUGUUCUGACUGUCGGAAUAUGGCGCAAACUAAGUUUCAUAAAGAGUGAAAUGUGUUUUAUUUUGAUGCAGUUUUGUAAGUGUAGUUUAAUGAACUUGGUGGGUUUAUUUUCGAAAAUAAAGUGAACCGAAAACGAAAAGAAGUGCGCCGCAGACAUGGGGCGCGGCGGUGGGAAAUGGAUUUGCCGCUUGUUAAGUGUUCUGCAAUACGAUCCACUGUGCAGAAUGUAAUUCAGGUUUCAAAACUGCUGCUUUCACGAUUGGCACACACUCCUUAUAUAAUGGCGUUGGUUAUGGUACCCCGGGCCUGCACUGUGGCUUCUCAUGAAAUCACUCGCCCCAGUAAGAGGCAAGGCGCUGUGGAUGAGAUUGGCUGCAGGCGUGGCUCCUAUAGUUUCACAAAUGGUAAGCAGACACAUGAUCAGAACCAAUUGUAUUAAAUGGCUUAAUCAAUUUUCUUUUUAAGUGGAGGCGCUGACGUGCUAUCAAUGCACCACUGCUUUUAGUAACACGGAUUGCAACAGUAAAAUUCAGACCUGCUACUCAGAAUCCAAGUGCAAGACUUCCGUCACCACUGUGAUGGGUAUAACUGCAUACAAUAAAGGCUGUGCUCAGGACCGCGAGUGUUCGGAGAGCGGAAAUCUUGUUUACAUUGGAGUCUACGGCAGCAGAGUGCAGUGCUGCUCUUCCAGUCUCUGCAACGUCAACGGCGCCGCACAUGCACGGCUCACCCUGCAGCUUCUAGGGUUUUCCGCAGCGCUGCUGUACCUGGUUGGCAUGGUUACAGUAUAACGACACCUUGCACUGCUCCUCGUGCCCAGGCUGUAACAGUUGUUUACUGAAGGGCAUGAAAUCUGGGUUUUCACCACUAUCUGUUCCUUCUGAAAUGUAUUUAUUUUUAAACAAGUGUGUAACAUGAAAAUUAAAGUUUUUGUUUUU